rnacentral:rRNA from 1 species
GAUGAACGCUAGCGGGAGGCCUAACACAUGCAAGCCGAGCGGUAUUUGUCUUUCGGGACAGAGAGAGCGGCGUACGGGUGCGGAACACGUGUGCAACCUGCCUUUAUCUGGGGGACAGCCUUUCGAAAGGAAGAUUAAUACCCCAUAAUAUAAUGAAUGGCAUCAUUUAUUAUUGAAAACUCCGUCGGAUAGAGAUGGGCACGCGCAAGAUUAGAUAGUUGGUGAGGUAACGGCUCACCAAGUCGAUGAUCUUUAGGGGGCCUGAGAAGGUGAUUGCCCACACUGGUACUGAGACACGGACCAGACUCCUACGGGAGGCACCAGUGUGGAAUAUUAGACAAUGGGUUAGAGCCUGAUCCAGACAUCCCGCGUGGAGGAUGACGGCCCUAUGGGUUGUAACCUUCUUUUGUACAGGGAUAAACCUACUCUCGUGAGAGUAGCUGAAGGUACUGUACGAAUAAGCACCGGCUAACUCCGUGGCAGCCGCCGCAGUAAUAC